UACGGAGGGGGCAAGCGUUGUUCGGAGUCACUGGGCGUAAAGGGCUUGUAGGUGGCCAACUAAGUCAGACGUGAAAUCCCUCGGCUUAACCGGGGAACUGCGUCUGAUACUGGAUAGCUUGAGUGUGGGAGAGGGAUGCGGAAUUCCAGGUGUAGCGGUGAAAUGCGUAGAUAUCUGGAGGAACACCGGUGGCGAAGGCGGCAUCCUGGACCAUUACUGACACUGAAAAGCGAAAGCCAGGGGAGCAAACGGG
rnacentral:rRNA from 1 species